rnacentral:rRNA from 1 species
GACGAACCACACGAACGUUAUUCGGAAUUACUGGGCUUAAAGGGUGCGUAGGCGGCGCGGUAAGUAGGGUGUGAAAUCCCUCGGCUCAACCGAGGAACUGCGCUCUAAACUACCGUGCUCGAGGGAGAUAGAGGUGAGCGGAACUUAGGGUGGAGCGGUGAAAUGCGUUGAUAUCCUAAGGAACACCGGUGGCGAAGGCGGCUCUCUGGACCGAUACUGACGCUGAGGCGCGAAAGCGUGGGGAGCGAACAGG